rnacentral:rRNA from 1 species
GACGAACGCUGGCGGCGUGCUUAACACAUGCAAGUCGAACGGUAAGGCCCUUCGGGGUACACGAGUGGCGAACGGGUGAGUAACGCGUGAGUAACCUGCCCUUCACUCUGGGAUAACAGUUGGAAACGGCUGCUAAUACCGGAUAUUCAGCUCCUGUCGCAUGGUGGGGGUUGGAAAGUUUUGGUGGUGGAGGAUGGGCUCGCGUCCUAUCAGCUUGUUGGUGGGGUGAUGGCCUACCAAGGCGUCGACGGGUAGCCGGCCUGAGAGGGCGACCGGCCACAUUGGGACUGAGAUACGGCCCAAACUCCUACGGGAGGCAGCAGUGGGGAAUAUUGCACAAUGGGCGGAAGCCCGAUGCAGCAACGCCGCGUGCGGGAUGACGGCCUUCGGGUUGUAAACCGCUUUCAGCAGGGACGAAGCGCAAGUGACGGUACCUGCAGAAGAAGCACCGGCUAACUACGUG